rnacentral:snRNA from 1 species
AUCGCUUCUCGGCCUUUUGGCUAAGAUCAAAGUGUAGUAUCUGUUCUUUACGGCUUAAUCUCCGUAACGACCCCUACCGGGGUCAAAAG